AGAUGCAGAGCAGGGGGCUGAUGGGAGAGGAAGGCUGCAGAGGGCCAGCAGACCUGUGGCAGCCACUUUAUCCAGAUCCUGCAGUUGAAGGAAGAAUACCUGCAGAGAGCCACAGGGCCCCGUGAGGUCAGCCCUGAGGCUUCCACCAGGGAGAAGGCGUGUCUGUUUGAAGACCUGGACCACCCCACUUGCUGCCAGGCUGUCAGUGACCACCACCCCAUUCACAGGAGACUGCAUGUUGGCCUCUUCCAGGGUGGAGGCAACUCCCUGGAACCACUUCCACAGUUUGGACAAGGAGCUUCAAAACUCGGCCAUGGCCAAGGUCUGUGGGUGAUGGGGGCAUGAGGCGUGGGUUGGGGCCUUUCCCACAUCAGGCUGGGCCCCAGAAUAUGUGGUCUGGGCCUGGAAGGAGCAAUCCCCUUUCUUAACCUUUUGGGACAUGUUCCCUCCUGCUUCCUGC
rnacentral:sRNA from 1 species